rnacentral:rRNA from 1 species
ACGUACACUCCUACGGGAGGCAGCAGUGGGGAAUAUUGCACAAUGGGCGCAAGCCUGAUGCAGCGACGCCGCGUGGGGGAUGAAGGCCUUCGGGUUGUAAACUCCUUUCGCUAGGGACGAAGCUUUUUUGUGACGGUACCUAGAUAAGAAGCACCGGCUAACUACGUGCCAGCAGCCGCGGUAAUACGUAGGGUGCGAGCGUUGUCCGGAAUUACUGGGCGUAAAGGGCUCGUAGGUGGUUUGUCGCGUCGUCUGUGAAAUUCUGGGGCUUAACUCCGGGCGUGCAGGCGAUACGGGCAUAACUUGAGUGCUGUAGGGGUAACUGGAAUUCCUGGUGUAGCGGUGAAAUGCGCAGAUAUCAGGAGGAACACCGAUGGCGAAGGCAGGUUACUGGGCAGUUACUGACGCUGAGGAGCGAAAGCAUGGGUAGCGAACAGGAUUAGAUACCCCUGUAGUCCCAUGAU